rnacentral:rRNA from 1 species
UUGAUCCUGGCUCAGAACGAAUUUUGGCGGCGCGUCUUAAGCAUGCAAGUCGAACGGCAAGGCAGGUGCUUGCACCUGCCCUAGAGUGGCGGACUGGUGAGUAACACGUGGGUGACAUGCCUUUUAGUUGGGGAUAGCUACUAGAAAUAGUAGAUAAUACCGAAUGUGAUCAAUAUUUAUAGAUGAUGUUGAGGAAAGGAGCUAAGGCUUCGCUAAAAGAUUGGCCCGCGGCCCAUUAGCUAGUUGGUAGGGUAAAGGCUUACCAAGGCGAUGAUGGGUAUCCGGCCUGAGAGGGUGAUCGGACACAUUGGGACUGAGAUACGGCCCAGACUCCUACGGGAGGCAGCAGCUAAGAAUAUUCCACAAUGGACGAAAGUCUGAUGGAGCGACGCCGCGUGGAUGAUGAAGGCCGAAAGGUUGUAAAAUCCUUUUACACUGGAGGAAUAAGCAGAGUAGGGAAUGACUCUGUGAUGACUGUACAGUUUGAAUAAGCGACGGCUAAUUACGUGCCAGCAGCCGCGGUAACACGUAAGUUGCGAGCGUUGUUCGGAAUUAUUGGGCGUAAAGGGCAUGUAGGCGGAUUUGCAAGCUUGAUGUGAAAUCCCGCAGCUUAACUGCGGAACUGCAUUGGGAACUGCAAGACUAGAGUUACUGAGGGGAAACUAGAAUUCCAAGUGUAGGGGUGAAAUCUGUAGAUAUUUGGAAGAAUACCAAUGGCGAAGGCAAGUUUCUGGCAGAUAACUGACGCUGAGGUGCGAAGGUGCGGGGAGCAAACAGGAUUAGAUACCCUGGUAGUCCGC